UUGAGCAAGCCAACCUCUCCUCGAUCCUUCGCGCGAGUUCCUCUCGUCCGCCUCUGUCCAGAAAAAAUCCCCUUUCUCCUCCGACCAGAUCCAUCUCCAUCGUCACCUCCUCGUCUCGAUCCGGCGUAGAUCUAGGCCAAAUCGACACACAUCUCCUACUCCAGGCAAGGUGUUCGUCCGCCCAAGGUCCGGGCAGAGCGGAGGCGCGAGAGAAGGAAUCUGUCGAGGUUCUCCGAGGAGCCGCGGCUAGUGGAGGUGAUGUGCGGUGGGGGACGAGCUCCAUGGACGAGGAGGAGGAAGCAGUAGGCGGAGGCUGGCCAGCAGUAUGUUGCGGCUAGCGGUGCCCGGACUGUUGGACGGGCGGCUACUGCGCUGCAUCUACUACUUUCUACUACUGCGCUGCCUCUACUGGUCUCGAAGCAGCACAGGUGACAUGGGAGAACUAAAUCCAACUGGACUAUUCUCAUCUCCUCUUGAACUAGUGCCUCUAGCAGAUCCAAGAAAAGGUAUGCAUCCAGCAGGAGAUGCUGGACUGCUACUUGAGCCUGCUCCAAAUGCUCCUGGAGGGUACUGCCCCAUGUUACCUUGGUAAGCAACACCAUGGUAGCCUGGAGGUAUGGAUGGAACUUGCUGGUUGUUUGGGCUCUGUGCAUCUGAAGGUGAGAAGGAGGAGUUCAUCAUGCUUGUGAAGCUUUCAGAAGAUGAGUGCUCCAUGUUUUGGGGGAGAGUUUUUCCAAGAUCUUCUUGUGCUUCUAUGAGCUUGUUCUGUACAUUUUAUAGACAGAUUCUCCAAAUGGGUAGAUUUUUCUACUGCAGUGCAACGGUCAUCUGGAAAUUUGUGUGCUCUGGUUUGCUGUAAAUUGAAUGUUGUUUGGUAUGGAUUGAAUGAUGUUGCUCGGUGGUGGUUGGGUAGGAAUGCUCCUGUAUAGAUGGCAGUUA